rnacentral:rRNA from 1 species
ACAGAGGGUGCGAGCGUUGUCCGGAAUCACUGGGCGUAAAGGGCGCGUAGGCGGCUUGGUAAGUAGGGGGUGAAAUCUCAUGGCUCAACUGUGAGGCUGCCUUCUAGGCUGCUGAGCUCGAGCACAGUAGAGGCGAGUGGAAUUCCCGGUGUAGCGGUGGAAUGCGUAGAGAUCGGGAAGAACAUCGGUGGCGAAGGCGGCUCGCUGGGCUGUUGCUGACGCUGAUGCGCGAAAGCGUGGGGAGCAAACAGGA